rnacentral:rRNA from 1 species
GAUGAACGCUGGCGGCGUGCCUAAUACAUGCAAGUCGAGCGAACAGACGAGGAGCUUGCUCCUCUGACGUUAGCGGCGGACGGGUGAGUAACACGUGGAUAACCUACUUAUAAGACUGGGAUAACUUCGGGAAACCGGAGCUAAUACCGGAUAAUAUAUUGAACCGCAUGGUUCAAUAGUGAAAGACGGCUUUGCUGUCACUUAUCGAUGGAUCCGCGCUGCAUUAGAUAGUUGGUAAGGUAACGGCUUAUCAAGGCAACGAUGCGUAGCCGACGUGAGAGGGGGAUCGGCCACACGGGAGCUGGACCACGGUCCAGGGUCCUGCGAGAGGCAGCAGUAGGGAAUCUGCCGCAGUAGUGGGGAACCUGGCGGAGCGGCGGGGCGUGAGUGAUGGAAAUCUUCGGAUCGUAAAGCUCUGUUAUUGGGGAAGAACAGAUGUGGAAGUAGCUGUGCACGUCUUGACGGUACCUAGUCAGGAAGCCACGGCUAACUACGUG